UUUUGUUUUUAUCACAAUUAUUAUUUUAAAAAUAUCAAAGUAAUUUUAUAAUAAAUUAAAAUAAUUGGCAGUUAGUUCCACUUUCUCAAAUUAUAGAACGUUCUUCCUUACACAUUACUGUUCUUUCUCUUCUCCAUUUAGUUCACAGGCAUUCUUCUCUCGCUCCUGGCAACAAUCUUCAUAGCUUAUCGUGUACUGGAAUUUCAGAGGUUAUGCCAUUUUCAUAGACAUUUCUAAUCCUUUGCAGAACAAUCCUACUUACUCAGUUGUCAA